GAUAACAUUCAGAAUAAAUAAAAUAAAAAAAUUUGAUUGUUAGCUCCUCACCACCAUUUUCGUUUUCGAACCCUCUAGCCAUUUCACUCACCCAUUCAGAGUCAAUUGCUAUUGCUCGCAGUCGUUCGAUUUCAUUUUCCACCCUUCAAUUUAUGUGCCUCUGUUCGAUUUCAUUUUCAUGGUUUCUUCAUUUGCAUGCUGAAUUUGAGCCUAAAGUUCUAAGAAAAUAUGUGAGAGAAGUUAGGAAUAUUAAAUCUUCUGAAGAGAAAGUGUUGUCGUGGAAAGCUUGACUCAAAACUGAAGUUAGGAAUAUUAAAUCUUCUGAAGAGAAAGUGUUGUCGUGGAAAGCUAGACUCAGAACUGGAUGAAUUUGAAGUCAUCGAGAAUAUUUGAGAUUUUGGAAAAAGUUGACACUGAUGUAUCAUAUUGUCUUGAAAGGCAUUCAAAUUAAUGAAAACAACAUACAUGUUGAUUCAUUAUUGGAAAAAAAGUUCCAAGAAUAGGAAUAUAUGACAUAUGAAAGACAACCAUAUCAAGACUCAUGUUUGUCAAAAACUUUGCACGAUAUGAGUGUGUAUGCUUCAUGGAAAAGUUUGGUUGAGGCUAUUGGAUGAUCAUUGGUUUGUAUAUUGUGUUAUGGGAACAAGCCAAAGAUUUUAAUGGGACAAAACAAGAACCACCACAAUCAAAGAUGGAGGAUGGUGAAAGAAGCAACAGAACAACUUUGGAAGAACCACUUCUUGCAAAGAAAUUAGAAUAUGUGGCAGAGAUAAAGAUGGAUGGCUAAUGAUUUAAGCCAAUGGUAGUUUGGGUGAAACUUUAUCACUUUCAAAUUGAAGAAAUAAAAAUUCGAUUUGUUUCUUUACUAGCUAGAAUUGAUUAUCAUAAAUUGAUUGUAACAUUAUUUCACUUUAUGCAUUAGAAGUGUUACUUUAGCCAUAUAUUAAUAAUUAAUGUACAACUCAA